AUUGAACGCUGGCGGCAGGCCUAACACAUGCAAGUCGAACGAGUGGCGGACGGGUGAGUAAUGUCUGGGAAACUGCCUGAUGGAGGGGGAUAACUACUGGAAACGGUAGCUCAUACCGCAUAACAUCAGAUGUGCCCAGAUGGGAUUAGCUUGUUGGUGGGGUAACGGCUCACCAAGGCGACGAUCCCUAGCUGGUCGGAGAGGAUGACCAGCCACACUGGGACUGAGACACGGCCCAGACUCCUACGGUAGGCAGCAGUGGUGAAUUUUGGACAAUGGGGGCAACCCUGAUCCAGCCAUGCCGCGUGUAUGAAGAAGGCCGUCGGGUUGUAAAGUACUUUUGUUAGGGAAGCGGUACCUAAAGAAUAAGCACCGGCUAACUACGUGCCAGCAGCCGCGGUAAUUC
rnacentral:rRNA from 1 species